rnacentral:lncRNA from 1 species
UGGACGAGAGGGACGCCGCCAUCAGGGAGAAGCUGAGCAGCGUGAAGGACACCUCGGCGGAGGUGAAGCAGCUGGAGGCGCAGGGCAACGCCAUGAUGAAGGCGGCGAGGGCGGAGAUCUCGGCGGCGCUGAACAAGAUGAAGAAGGAGACGCAGGUGGAGGUGGAGGCCAAGCUGGCCGAGGGGAGGAAGAAGAUCGAGGCGGAGCUGCAGGAGGCGCUCGCCAGCUUGGAGAAGCAGAAGGAUGAGACCAUCGCCGCGCUCGAUUCGCAGAUCGCGGCGCUCAGCGAUGAGAUUGUCAAGAAAGUUCUUCCCGUUUCUUGAUCACUCACUUUCUUUUUUCAUGUGCUUUUCAAUCUAUAAACUAAAACUGCUACAUAUGUAAUUACUGAUUUUUACGUGGAAUACUUUGGACUGCGUUUAUUUUGCAUGAUUGAUAAGACGAGAUGUUUAGUUUGAUGGAUUAGAUACGAUUUAGGCGUUCGAUUGCUCGAGAUUGAAUUGUUCGGAGAUGGCCUGAGAUUAUUUUUGCAAUAGGGGUAAGGCGAUGACUCGAAGUCAUAACUAUCUCGAGAUUAAGUAUUGAGUUAUAUUUAUAUCUAAUCCUACAAAUCGAACAUCCUUUUGUGAUAUGUUAUGACAUUGUUUGGUUGGAUG